rnacentral:rRNA from 1 species
ACGAACGCUGGCGGCGUGCUUAACACAUGCAAGUCGAACGGUGAUCCAGGUACUUGUAUCUGGUGAUCAGUGGCGAACGGGUGAGUAACACGUGAGUAACCUGCCCCCCACUCUGGGAUAACUCCGGGAAACCGGGGCUAAUACCGGAUAUGACGCCAACCCGCAUGGGUAUGGUGUGGAAAGUUUUUCGGUGGGGGAUGGACUCGCGGCCUAUCAGCUUGUUGGUGAGGUAAUGGCUCACCAAGGCGACGACGGGUAGCCGGCCUGAGAGGGCGACCGGCCACACUGGGACUGAGACACGGCCCAGACUCCUACGGGAGGCAGCAGUGGGGAAUAUUGCACAAUGGGCGAAGCCUGAUGCAGCGACGCCGCGUGAGGGAUUAAGGCCUUCGGGUUGUAAACCUCUUUCAGCAGGGAAGAAGCGCAAGUGACGGUACCUGCAGAAGAAGCACCGGCUAACUACGUGCCAGCAGCCGCGGUAAUACGUAGGGUGCGAGCGUUGUCCGGAAUUAUUGGGCGUAAAGAGCUUGUAGGCGGUUUGUCGCGUCUGCUGUGAAAUCUCAAGGCUCAACCUUGAGCUUGCAGUGGGUACGGGCAGACUAGAGUGUGGUAGGGGAGACUGGAAUUCCUGGUGUAGCGGUGAAAUGCGCAGAUAUCAGGAGGAACACCGAUGGCGAAGGCAGGUCUCUGGGCCACUACUGACGCUGAGAAGCGAAAGCAUGGGGAGCGACAGGAUUAGAUACCCUGGUAGUCCAUGCCGUAAACGUUGGGAACUAGGUGUGGGCCUCAUUCCACGAGGUCCGUGCCGCAGCUAACGCAUUAAGUUCCCCGCCUGGGGAGUACGGCCGCAAGGCUAAAACUCAAAGGAAUUGACGGGGGCCCGCACAAGCGGCGGAGCAUGCGGAUUAAUUCGAUGCAACGCGAAGAACCUUACCAAGGCUUGACAUAUACCGGAAAAGUGCAGAGAUGUGCUCCCCGCAAGGUCGGUAUACAGGUGGUGCAUGGUUGUCGUCAGCUCGUGUCGUGAGAUGUUGGGUUAGGUCCCGCAACGAGCGCAACCCUCGUUCUAUGUUGCCAGCACGUGAUGGUGGGGACUCAUAGGAGACUGCCGGGGUCAACUCGGAGGAAGGUGGGGAUGACGUCAAAUCAUCGUGCCCCUUAUGUCUUGGGCUUCACGCAUGCUACAAUGGCCAGUACAAAGGGCUGCGAGACCGUAAGGUGGAGCGAAUCCCAAAAAACUGGUCUCAGUUCGGAUUGGGGUCUGCAACUCGACCCCAUGAAGUCGGAGUCGCUAGUAAUCGCAGAUCAGCAACGCUGCGGUGAAUACGUUCCCGGGCCUUGUACACACCGCCCGUCAAGUCACGAAAGUCGGUAACACCCGAAGCCGGUGGCCUAACUCGCAAGAGGAGGAGCCGUCGAAGGUGGGACUGGCGAUUGGGACU